rnacentral:lncRNA from 1 species
GACAUGCUUCCUAAGAAGCUCAUGAACCACAUCUAACUUUGCUCUAACUUCGUCCAUCUGCUCCUUCCCUAGGGAUGCAACAGACUUUUUCCUUUCAAAGUCAGUGUUCUUGGUGUUGCUGCUGUUUGCUAGAUUUUCCUAUCAGUCUCAUAGCUUCCACCGGAUUCCUAGUGUUGAAGUUUCCCUCACUAGCUGUAUCAAGAGCCAUCUGAUACCUCAAGGCGAUACCUCUGAAGAAAGUGCUCAGCAGUUGAACUUCAUUGAAUCCGUGGUGUGGACAGUCUCGCUGGAAGAACUUGAAUCUGAUCCACACAUCUUUGAAAGAC